GCGCGAAAACUUUACAAUGCGGGAAACCGUGAUAAGGGAAUCUCGAGUGCCAGCAUAUAAUGUUGGCUGUCCAGAUGCCUAAAAAGCAUCUGUUAGCAAGGGCCGGGCAAGACCGGUGCCAGCCGCCGCGGUAACACCGGCGGCCCGAGUGGUAACCGUUUUUAUUGGGUCUAAAGGGUCUGUAGCCGGCCAUGUAAGUCCCUUGGGAAAUCUGGCAGCUCAACUGUCAGGCUGCUAGGGGAUACUGCUUGGCUUGGGACCGGGAGAGGUGAGAGGUACCUUGAGGGUAGGGGUGAAAUCUUGUGAUCCUCGGGGGACCACCAGUGGCGAAGGCGUCUCACCAGAACGGGUCCGACGGUAAGGGACGAAAGCUAGGGGCACGAACCGGAUUAGAUACCCGGGUAGUCCUAGCCGUAAACGAUGCUCGCUAGGUGUCAGUCACGGUGCGACCGUGAUUGGUGCCGUAGGGAAGCCGUGAAGCGAGCCACCUGGGAAGUACGGCCGCAAGGCUGAAACUUAAAGGAAUUGGCGGGGGAGCACUACAACGGGUGGAGCCUGCGGUUUAAUUGGAUUCAACGCCGGAAAUCUCACCGGGGGCGACAGCAAUAUGAAGGUCAGGCUGAAGACCUUACCGGAUUAGCU
rnacentral:rRNA from 1 species